rnacentral:snoRNA from 13 species
AAGCAUUGAAAAGGGACGGUUUUUCUAAUUAGAACAUUCCGUAUAAUUUUGGUGCAAUAGCAUAGAGAGCCGCAGUGUUACUCUUCUUUACAAAUCCUGUAUCUGGAGAGUGUCAAGCGGUUCCCACAAUC